GGUGCAGAAGGUAACAUGUGGCGACAACGAUGUGGACAGCUAGGAUGAAGUGAGAGAAGGUGGAGUAUUUGAAACCGAUUUUGCAGAACAAACCAAACCCAAACCGACUUGUUUCCAGACAAAACCAAAUCGGUUUGAGAUGUCAAGUCGAACAUCAUAAAACCCUACACACCUAUUGAUUUCAAACGCAGAUCUCUUGCACUCUCUUCUCUCUCUCGCACUCGCUGUUCUCUGCUACCCAAAUCACUGGAAUCGGCUGAUGUAUGUAUCCUCUCUCGCACUCUUUGUUCUCUCUCUCUCUCUCUCUCUCUCUCUCUCUCUCUCUCUUGCAUUCUUUGUUGUCUCCAAACUCGCACUCUCACUUCUCUCUGAACUCGCCCUCUCUGUUCUCUUUGAACUCGCCCUCUCUGUUCUCUCUGAACUCGCACUCUCAGUUCUUGAAGUUCUUCAUCGAUUGCUUACCUGAACUCACCUGAAACGCCUGACGUGGUUGCGAUCACUGAUCUCUCUCAUCUGAAGCACGCUCUCCCAAAGCUCGUAAGCAAGCAAGAUACGGAUGCACCACAACAACAGAUUUGUAGCUGCGGUGAAGGGAUGAUGGUCAUCCGGACUUCUAGAACGGCCAAGAAUCUUAGGCGAGAUUUUACAGAUGUCCAUUAGGCGAUAAACAUCCCGACUCUUCAAUUUGAUUGGAUUCAACAUCGAGGAAAUACAUGGAGAUGGUAGACACUGGGGCAUGUCAUUCAAAUGAAAGUGUUAAUAGGAACACCCGAGACAUCUUGGUUGUACCUCAAACACCCUAUAGUACACAAGUGCACAACCAAAUACUAGUGGACCAAUCAUUGCUCAACCAUUACUAUGGUGUAACCAUCUUCCUUUAUAUUUGGGUCUUAUUUCUUUCAUGCUAUGUUUUUUAUGUAACAACCUUAUAAUCCAAAAAAUGGAGGAGGGAUCCAGAUCCUUUGUUAUUUUCUAUCAUGUAUUCUAGAUCCUUGGGGUUUUUGAUGUUCUUAUCUCUCAAUUAUACGAACAAGUUUUUUUAUAGGUUAG